CGGACGGGUGAGUAAUGUCUGGGAAACUGCCUGAUGGAGGGGGAUAACUACUGGAAACGGUAGCUAAUACCGCAUAAUGUCGCAAGACCAAAGAGGGGGACCUUCGGGCCUCUUGCCAUCAGACGUGCCCAGAUGGGAUUAGCUUGUUGGUGGGGCAACGGCUCACCAAGGCGACGAUCCCUAGCUGGUCUGAGAGGAUGACCAGCCACACUGGAACUGAGACACGGUCCAG
rnacentral:rRNA from 1 species